rnacentral:rRNA from 1 species
GACGAACGCUGGCGGCGUGCCUAACACAUGCCAGUCGAACGGAAAGGCCCUGCUUUUGUGGGGUGCUCGAGUGGCGAACGGGUGAGUAACACGUGAGUAACCUGCCCUUGACUUUGGGAUAACUUCAGGAAACUGGGGCUAAUACCGGAUAGGAGCUCCUGCUGCAUGGUGGGGGUUGGAAAGUUUCGGCGGUUGGGGAUGGACUCGCGGCUUAUCAGCUUGUUGGUGGGGUAGUGGCUUACCAAGGCUUUGACGGGUAGCCGGCCUGAGGGGGUGACCGGCCACAUUGGGACUGAGAUACGGCCCAGACUCCUACGGGAGGCAGCAGUGGGGAAUAUUGCACAAUGGGCGGAAGCCUGAUGCAGCAACGCCGCGUGCGGGAUGACGGCCUUCGGGUUGUAAACCGCUUUCGCCUGUGACGAAGCGUGAGUGACGGUAAUGGGUAAAGAAGCACCGGCUAACUACGUG